CCCUCCGCAUCCCCGCAGAGCGGCCCCGGCCCCGAGCCGCUGCUCCCGGUGCUGCCCUGGAGAGCCCGCGGCGGCCCCCCCGGAGCCGCCUUCGCCGCCCUGCUGCAGCUGCUGCGGGAGGAGGACGCCGGUCCCCCGGCGCUGGCGUCUCCCCAGAAGCGUAAGUCCGCUCCGCUCCGCUCUGCUCCCGGACGGUGCCAGCCCCGCAGCGGUGGCCGAGGGGGGGCCCCGACGUGGGCACGGAGCGGGGCCGGGCCCGGUGGGAGCUGACACCGGGCUCUCUCCGCAGGGGACAUGCACGACUUCUUCGUGGGGCUCAUGGGGAAGCGGAUGGCGGAGCCCGGUAGGGCGGCGGGGGAGGCCCGGGGGGCUGCGGAGCCGCAGCGGAGGGGCUGAGCGCAGCCCCCCUGCUCCCCAGGGCCCCCCCCGGACGCCCCCAGGGCCGCCGGGUCCCAGCGCCGGGCAGCGUGAGGAGGGACCGGGGGGCGGCAGCGCCGGGACCCCCCCCUCCGGGCUCCGUCCCGGGCAUCGCGGGGGGGCUCCGGGGGCCGUGUCCUGGUGCCUCGGAGCGGGCGGCGGCUGCGGGGCCAGCAGGGGCCGGAGGCGAGCAGCGACUGCGGAGCCGUCGUGGGAGCCCGUCGGGGCCGGGACCGGGACCGGGACCGGGAGUGGGGCCGGGGCUGGGGGCGGGAGCGGGGCUGGGGGCGGGAUCGGGGCCGCGCUGCCGUCCGCGCUGUACGGGCACCAGAUCCCAAACAUCGCCCCCAGCCCUGGCUCGCUCCGUGCCUCCGCUGCGCCUCGACGGGACCCGACGGGCCCGGGAGGGACACGGGGAGGACACGGGGCGGGGAGGAGACACGGGGGGGGGGCUGCCCAUGGGCUACAACGACCCCCCCACACACCUCCCCCCCCCACAUCCCCACAUCUCCACCUGCCCCAGCUCCCCUCGACGUCGCCCCCCGG
rnacentral:lncRNA from 1 species